AAAUCGCCUAGCAAAAUGCAAUCAGUACAAUUUAGUGCAUGGGAAGUAAGGAACUGCAAAUUACUUAUCAACUCCACUGACUGGAACACUUUUAUACCGGAGAAACAAAUUUGUAAUGGUAUUUCCUUUUCAAUAUGUGGAAUGCAACUUGAUCUUUAUCCCAGUGAAAUAGCACACUAUCAAAUGCAUGGAAACAUGAGCUGCGCUACAGAGGCCUGACUGAAACGUUUACUUCAAGAAUGAAAGAACUUUUGGAGUAUAAGGUGUCCCCUUUUUUCUUUGUGUGUCAGCUCUAGACCAGUAGGCCUAAUUAUGUUUGCUGAAGGCUCAACAGUUUCUUCAGCGUCUGCAUCUGAUGAAUCGACAGAGGUACAAUCUGACAGCAUGCUUUCUAAGCAGUCUGAGAGUGCCCAUGUUGAGAUUGAAGCUAAAGCUGCAGUGGGAUCAAUCGCAGAUACAUCUGCCUGACUAACCGAGCAGAACCUCAGCAAACUCAAACACAUUUCUUAAUCCAUGUCAUGACAUUCUUUAAAAAAAAACGGUUUAUUGAAAGAGUACUUAAGAUUACACAUUGGUUUAAAUCACCCAAAACCACACCCAAGAAAUAAUUAUUUCAGUGUUUAUGUCUGUGUUAGAUGUUAAUAAAAUGGUCCAUCUACAAAUCUUUUUACUAAGUCCGUAAAAUACAGUAGUAGUUCUAACUGCUGAACAUUUGUACAAAAUGUAA